rnacentral:tRNA from 1 species
GCCUGGGUGGCUCAGUCGGUUAAGCGUCCGACUUCGGCUCAGGUCAUGAUCUCACGGUCCGUGAGUUCGAGCCCCACAUCAGGCU